AACAGGAUUAGAUACCCUGGUAGUCCACGCCGUAAACGAUGUCGACUUGGAGGUUGUGCCCUUGAGGCGUGGCUUCCGGAGCUAACGCGUUAAGUCGACCGCCUGGGGAGUACGGCCGCAAGGUUAAAACUCAAAUGAAUUGACGGGGGCCCGCACAAGCGGUGGAGCAUGUGGUUUAAUUCGAUGCAACGCGAAGAACCUUACCUACUCUUGACAUCCAGAGAACUUAGCAGAGAUGCUUUGGUGCCUUCGGGAACUCUGAGACAGGUGCUGCAUGGCUGUCGUCAGCUCGUGUUGUGAAAUGUUGGGUUAAGUCCCGCAACGAGCGCAACCCUUAUCCUUUGUUGCCAGCGGUUAGGCCGGGAACUCAAAGGAGACUGCCAGUGAUAAACUGGAGGAAGGUGGGGAUGACGUCAAGUCAUCAUGGCCCUUACGAGUAGGGCUACACACGUGCUACAAUGGCGCAUACAAAGAGAAGCGACCUCGCGAGAGCAAGCGGACCUCAUAAAGUGCGUCGUAGUCCGGAUUGGAGUCUGCAACUCGACUCCAUGAAGUCGGAAUCGCUAGUAAUCGUAGAUCAGAAUGCUACGGUGAAUACGUUCCCGGGCCUUGUACACACCGCCCGUCACACCAUGGGAGUGGGUUGCAAAAGAAGUAGGUAGCUUAACCUUCGGGAGGGCGCUUACCACUUUGUGAUUCGUGACUGGGGUGAAGUCGUAACAAGGUA
rnacentral:rRNA from 1 species